rnacentral:lncRNA from 1 species
AGCCCCGCCCUUGUCACGCCCUCCGCCCGGGUCCGCCGACCGAGUCCGGACCGCAGCUGGUCUUGGGCAGAACUCUGGGUGGCGCAGGAAGGAAGCGAGAGGAUUGCUGCCCUCUGGUCAGCAACCUUCCUGUUACCGGCUGGUUCUUUUAGAAAUGGCUCACCAAUCCAAUGCAAUCCAGGUCCUUCUUGCCUCCAACAAAGAAAUGGAUGAGACAAGCCAAAAACAGUCGCUAAAGUUUACUUGAAAAGUUAAGGGAGGGCUGGGGAUAUAGCUCAGUGGCAUAAGCACCUGCCUGGCAAGCACAAGGUCCUGAGUUUGAUUCCUGGUACCAAAAAAAAAAAAAAAAAGUUAAGGAAGAAACCAGUCCAGCAGAGCAAAUUUAGGCAGAACAAGAGGAAAAAAAACAUAAAAGCAAAGAUAAA